rnacentral:rRNA from 1 species
AAAUUGAAGAGUUUGAUCAUGGCUCAGAUUGAACGCUGGCGGCAGGCCUAACACAUGCAAGUCGAGCGGAAACGAGUUAUCUGAACCUUCGGGGAACGAUAACGGCGUCGAGCGGCGGACGGGUGAGUAAUGCCUAGGAAAUUGCCCUGAUGUGGGGGAUAACCAUUGGAAACGAUGGCUAAUACCGCAUGAUGCCUACGGGCCAAAGAGGGGGACCUUCGGGCCUCUCGCGUCAGGAUAUGCCUAGGUGGGAUUAGCUAGUUGGUGAGGUAAGGGCUCACCAAGGCGACGAUCCCUAGCUGGUCUGAGAGGAUGAUCAGCCACACUGGAACUGAGACACGGUCCAGACUCCUACGGGAGGCAGCAGUGGGGAAUAUUGCACAAUGGGCGCAAGCCUGAUGCAGCCAUGCCGCGUGUAUGAAGAAGGCCUUCGGGUUGUAAAGUACUUUCAGCAGUGAGGAAGGUGGUAGUGUUAAUAGCACUAUCAUUUGACGUUAGCUGCAGAAGAAGCACCGGCUAACUCCGUGCCAGCAGCCGCGGUAAUACGGAGGGUGCGAGCGUUAAUCGGAAUUACUGGGCGUAAAGCGCAUGCAGGUGGUUUGUUAAGUCAGAUGUGAAAGCCCGGGGCUCAACCUCGGAAUUGCAUUUGAAACUGGCAGACUAGAGUACUGUAGAGGGGGUAGAAUUUCAGGUGUAGCGGUGAAAUGCGUAGAGAUCUGAAGGAAUACCGGUGGCGAAGGCGGCCCCCUGGACAGAUACUGACACUCAGAUGCGAAAGCGUGGGGAGCAAACAGGAUUAGAUACCCUGGUAGUCCACGCCGUAAACGAUGUCUACUUGGAGGUUGUGGCCUUGAGCCGUGGCUUUCGGAGCUAACGCGUUAAGUAGACCGCCUGGGGAGUACGGUCGCAAGAUUAAAACUCAAAUGAAUUGACGGGGGCCCGCACAAGCGGUGGAGCAUGUGGUUUAAUUCGAUGCAACGCGAAGAACCUUACCUACUCUUGACAUCCAGAGAACUUUCCAGAGAUGGAUUGGUGCCUUCGGGAACUCUGAGACAGGUGCUGCAUGGCUGUCGUCAGCUCGUGUUGUGAAAUGUUGGGUUAAGUCCCGCAACGAGCGCAACCCUUAUCCUUGUUUGCCAGCGAGUAAUGUCGGGAACUCCAGGGAGACUGCCGGUGAUAAACCGGAGGAAGGUGGGGACGACGUCAAGUCAUCAUGGCCCUUACGAGUAGGGCUACACACGUGCUACAAUGGCGCAUACAGAGGGCGGCCAACUUGCGAAAGUGAGCGAAUCCCAAAAAGUGCGUCGUAGUCCGGAUUGGAGUCUGCAACUCGACUCCAUGAAGUCGGAAUCGCUAGUAAUCGUGGAUCAGAAUGCCACGGUGAAUACGUUCCCGGGCCUUGUACACACCGCCCGUCACACCAUGGGAGUGGGCUGCAAAAGAAGUAGGUAGUUUAACCUUCGGGGGGACGCUUACCACUUUGUGGUUCAUGACUGGGGUGAAGUCGUAACAAGGUAGCGCUAGGGGAACCUGGCGCUGGAUCACCUCCUUA